rnacentral:rRNA from 1 species
GAUGAACGCUGGCGGCGUGCCUAAUACACGCAAGUCGAGCGAACAGACGAGGAGCUUGCUCCUCUGACGUUAGCGGCGGACGGGUGAGUAACACGUGGAUAACCUACCUAUAAGACUGGGAUAACUUCGGGAAACCGGAGCUAUACCGGAUAAUAUAUUGAACCGCAUGGUUCAAUAGUGAAAGACGGUUUUGCUGUCACUUAUAGAUGGAUCCGCGCCGCAUUAGCUAGUUGGUAAGGUAACGGCUUACCAAGGCAACGAUGCGUAGCCGACCUGAGAGGGUGAUCGGCCACACUGGAACUGAGACACGGUCCAGACUCCUACGGGAGGCAGCAGUAGGGAAUCUUCCGCAAUGGGCGAAAGCCUGACGGAGCAACGCCGCGUGAGUGAUGAAGGUCUUCGGAUCGUAAAACUCUGUUAUUAGGGAAGAACAAAUGUGUAAGUAACUAUGCACGUCUUGACGGUACCUAAUCAGAAAGCCACGGCUAACUACGUG